rnacentral:rRNA from 1 species
UACGGAGGGGGCUAGCGUUGUUCGGAAUUACUGGGCGUAAAGCGCACGUAGGCGGACCAGCAAGUUAGGGGUGAAAUCCCGGGGCUCAACCCCGGAACUGCCCUUAAAACUGUUGAUCUUGAGUUCGAGAGAGGUGAGUGGAAUUCCGAGUGUAGAGGUGAAAUUCGUAGAUAUUCGGAGGAACACCAGUGGCGAAGGCGGCUCACUGGCUCGAUACUGACGCUGAGGUGCGAAAGCGUGGGGAGCAAACAGG